CGCACUGCGAAGCUCAGAAGAGUGUUUUCACAGCCAGAGUGGCUCCUGCGGGUCCCACCGCUGCAUGCAGACAGAGAACACGGUGCCUCCCCAAAGAGGAGCGUGUCCUCAGCCAUGCUGCUCAAACACCUCAGUGAGGACAUGGCACAGAGGAGCCCAACGCGUUCCAGUUGCAUUCAGGCCCCUCAGCAUGGCUCUGGGGGAAGGAGGAGACGUGGCUGUGCUGCAGUGCGAGCAGUGCCCGAAGAUUUAGGUUAUGGGAAUGUUGGUUCCAGAGGCAGUGUGAUUCAUGCUGAAACCAUCCGGUGCCAUCUGAUGCACACGUCCACCCAAAGGUAGAGGCAGUGCUGUGCGCUGCGAGCUGCUCCACUCUGAGUUCUCAUUGCAGAACAACUACAACGGCAGAGAACAAGAAAUGGCUGCAUUCUGCCAAAGAGAUCUCUCAAAGCUCCAAGCCUUCCUCUGCGAUGCUCCACGCACUGAUAAUGAGCCGUGCUCGCUAAUCUCCCAUCAGGACUCAUAAUGUCAUACGAAAAUCCUCGUCGAAGAGAAACGGUUCAUCGCGGUUUGUCUGCAGUACAAAAGGUCGUUCUGCCUGAAUCGCCCGUCAGAACAUUUCCACGUAUGCACAGGUUGUCAGCGAAAAUGGUGAGCUGCUCCUCGGUGACAACCGGAGUGUUUCAUUCCCCACAGCCACCAAAAGGGGAGAUAUUUCCCACAGCUGCAGGUGUGGCACUGAGGCACGGUGCGGAUGGGUUGGGGCUGCCCUUGGUGAUCUGAGCGGCCUCUUCCAACCCUGGUGAUUCUCUGAUUCAACCGUCCCCUGUGCAGAAGCACAAAGCCAAAGGGGGUUUCUUUCAGAGUCCUGAAGAAGAGUUCUGUGUGUCCCUCCAGAAACCCACCGUGCUGUGAAAGCCCCAGACGUGUGCUGAUGUCUGUAGGGCACACAGCGAUGUAUGGAGGGAGGCUGCUGUAAGUGGGAAUGUAACCAAUGAUAUUAUGCUAUUUUCAAAGACAAUCCUUUGGCAUCAGCAGAUUAACCUUAAAAAUUCUGCCCUCUUGUUUUAAUCUCAUCCCACCCAUCAUACAGGCAAUGCUGGGUGGGUACCUGAAGCAAUAGGAGCACUGUGUGUCACAGAAUCAUAGAACCGUUCCAGUUGGACCUUUAAGGGCCAUCUGUCCCCCUCCCUGCAACACAGAGGGACACCCACAGCUCCUCACAUGCUCAGAUCCCAUCGCCUGACCUUGGGGCACCUCCAC
rnacentral:lncRNA from 1 species